UGUUUGGUGGCUGAGAAAAUAAGCAAUAGACUGUAGAUCUAUUAACGGAAUUAAAUUUCCCCGACAA
rnacentral:tRNA from 2 species